CCCCGGGUUGUUUCCUCCCAGAGAAGGGUGCCCCCUGAGGGGGACACAGCCUGCCCCCUGAGCCGCAAUGCUUCCUCCACGCCUGCAGGCCCCGCUGUGAGAAGCGUCCUGUUCAGCUGCCAGCCCCACUUCUCUAGGCCGGGGCUGGCCGGAGAAAUAAGGGCACCGUUCAAUAGCGCUAGCCUCUUUAGUCAUAACUUUCCUCCCCUGGCAUCCCAAAGUGUUUAAGCGGCUCUACAAAGUUUGCUGUCAGUCUAAAGAAGUCAUAUGAGUGGAAUGUUGCUAAAUUGAUGAGGGAUCGCCCAGCCUUGCUGAAAUGAAUUAAUGGAUGCCUAACUUCUCACAUCCAACCCUGGACAAAAAGUCUGACAUCACACCCCUCAUCUUGCUACUUGGCCAGACCAAAUUCAAUCCACAGAGGAGUGAAGGAUUUGUUUCAUGUAGCCUUUCUGCCAAUAGGAGGAUUUUCUGGCUCAUCCGAACAAUGUUACCAACUCAUGAGUUAUUUGAUAUUUUUCUAAAGACCCCAGCUCUUGCAGUAAUGUAAUUAUGUGAGAAUUUGAGCUCUCCUUUUAAAAGAAAAGUAUGUUCCUAAUCUUCAUCGUUGAGGAGAAAAGCUUGAAAACAUGACCUAGCUCUGUCUGAAAGGAUCGAAAACUAGAAGGCAAAUAAAGAGAACUCAAAAUGUUAUGUUUUUAAAUCUCAGGAUUGAUUUUUUUUUUUUUGGUCGGGGGAGGUAGAUGUGAUUUUUUUAUGCUUAUGGUUAACACUAAUGCUGUAUUUGUACAUUGAAAGGUGAACACAAGGCUGCUAUUUGUUAAUUCUUACUCAAACACCAUCCCAUAAAGCCCCAUUCUUCAGAUUUACACUGUAGUCAAGCCAUCUCCUGAUUAGGUGGUGCUGUAUAAAGAUCUACCUAUAAGAACAAUAUUGAUAAAAUGGUUCCUAAACCAUGUUGCCAUAGAGAGAGGAAAAGGGUAAACUUGGGAAUUAAAUUCACAAAUUAAAUAACUAGAUUUACAUAAAAUACUUUAAAAGUACUUUUUACCAGCCGAAAAAUACAUUGCUUGCUACUGAUUAAUAAAAGUUGCAUUUAUCCCCUUUAUCCUCUUGAAAAAGUGAAACUAAUUUCCACAUAUGGGGUAACGGUGUCAUUUUGUUAAGUUAUGAUUCAGAUUAUAAUUUCAGAUACAUACUCAUCUUUUUGUUAGGACAUCUUUCAUGCAGAAGAAUGACAGCCUAUGGGGAAGUAUUAUUCUAUAAUGUCAUUUAAAACAGCUUAAAAGCAUUUUAUACUCUUAUCCUAGAAGUGGUUAUUCAGUUCCCUGCUAGGGAAGGUCUGAUCCCUACAGCACAUUUUCUAGUGCUAUAUAAUGACCUUUUAAAAGUCCAAGGAAGACAUUUGUCUUGGGAGAGUACUCCUGACAUCUGUCAGUGUUUUUAGCCUGCUUUUUUCCGUUCUUAAUUUCAUUCCAUUGA